GAUGAACGCUGACAGAAUGCUUAACACAUGCAAGUCAACUUGAAUUUGGGUUUUUAACUUAGGUUUGGGUGGCGGACGGGUGAGUAACGCGUAAAGAACUUGCCUCACAGCUAGGGACAACAUUUGGAAACGAAUGCUAAUACCUAAUAUUAUGAUAAUAGGGCAUCCUAUAAUUAUGAAAGCUAUAAGCGCUGUGAGAGAGCUUUGCGUCCCAUUAGCUAGUUGGAGAGGUAACGGCUCACCAAGGCGAUGAUGGGUAGCCGGCCUGAGAGGGUGAUCGGCCCCAAGGGGACAGAGACACGGCCCGUACGCCUACGGGAGGCAGCAGUGGGGAAUAUUGGACAAUGGACCAAGAGUCUGAUCCAGCAAUUCUGUGUGCACGAUGAAGUUUUUCGGAAUGUAAAGUGCUUUCAGUUGGGAAGAAAGAAAUGACGGUACCAACAGAAGAAGUGACGGCUAAAUACGUG
rnacentral:rRNA from 1 species